AUAAAAGAUCAGCUAUGAGUAAAUACCUGCUCCUAGUCAGAGAGUGUUGGAGUGUUAAAACUCUUGAAUACAGAAAAAGAUCAGCAAUUUAAGUAGAACCAGAUAAGAGGAUAAAGGGAAGACAAUACAGAAGGAGCAGAUGAGGAACAUGGCUGAGGCAGGUGAGGUUGCAGCAUACACGCUCCUGCACCCACAGCAGGCACUGCUGUUUGAAUAGGGCUUUUCUUUCCUGCUAAUCUCAGACAUGACUCAAUAAUCCUCCUUGGCUAUAUACUCAAGAUUGCCAUUUUUAACCUACCGACAAGUGUUGGCCCAUGAGAAGCAACUACUUUACUUUCAUGGGGUUAAAGGUUUUUGUGAGUGUAUUAGUUAAAGAAUUUAAAAUGACAGUUAAUAGCAAAUUUGUAUUGCAUGUGUAGUUUGUUUGUGUGCCUCCUCGAAGCAAACUCUAUUAUUCUUAUCCCAUUGAACAUACUCAGUAACUGUCAAUUAAUCUCUGUUCUUAUAAAGUCUUGCAUUAUAUAGCCUCUUCAGGGAUUGUUAUACAUGGAGGGAGCCCUACUUACAACUGGGUAAAGAUUUUGGUUUCUGCACUCGGUACAGUAUGCUGCCUUAAUAAGACUUACUUCUGAUGUAUGACAUUAUGCAUGAACUCUCUAGCAUUUGUUUGCUUUCUUUGUUUCAGAGUGACUUAUUUCCAGCCCUCCUAUGCUGUGACUAUGUUUUAAUUCUUCUCCUAAAUUCUCCUUUCUGGUUUGAUUUUAGCAUGCAUGCGUCUAAUGCACAACCAUCAGCCUCAGUAUCUUAGGAACAUUACUCCAUGAUAGGUGUGGGGAGCUUACGAUGUGGGCCUCAGGCAGCAAGUGAUUUGCAUUGGUCAUGGGCAUGCAUCUGGAGCAGAAUUGAGCCUGGAAAAGUGACUGUGACCGGUAGAAGAGGAUGUAUGUAGCCUCAUCACUUAAGGCAUUGAUUUUCAACCACGGAGAUCCCUUACAAAACAAUUUCUGCUCCAACCCACAUCCUGAUUUUAUAGGUCUUGAAUAAGUCAGAGACCAAGGCAUGUAUUAAAAGCAUCCUAGGCAUUUAAUAUGCAUCCAAGGUAGGAAAAACAAAAUCAUUGUUUUAUAGGUAAAGUUUUGUUUAAGGGAAAGAGGCACAACAGGUAGGGGAGUGCAUUUAUCAGGUGUUGCUUUCAAGAGUAGGCUUAGUGGUGGCCCAGAGGACCAGACUAGUCAGCUUUGUCACACAGGCAACAAAUGCUCCAGGGUGACUUUGCCUCAAAAGUCAGAUUAGCUUUAUCAGAUUAGCUCUGUUUCUCUACCAUGGAUAGAUACCUCAGGGUCACUCCAACUUCUUAUCAUGGCAGAGUCAUAUUUUCUAAUAAAGGUCAUCCUUAAGUUAUCUUUUGGUAUGGUAUUUCCAAGUGCAUUACGCCUUUCCCUAUACCUCCCACCAGCUUUUUCAUCUUCGGAAACAGAGCCACCUUAAUUGUGAGGUAUGCGAUAUCGCUAUAUUCCUUUAGAUGUCUUAUAUAAACUUAUGUGAAACCAUAGAACAAAAUACCAUUUUUAUGGUAGGUGUAUUCACAGAAAAGAGGGAAGGAAUAUGUUUAAACAUUUGGAUCUACUUUCCCAACACAAAUAACAAUUUGGAUAUAGCAGAAAGAACUGUGAAAAAAAAUUAAUAAGCGUGGUUGUUGAAUUGUCAAUUGUUCAAUGAAAUAUUUGUGUUCAUAUUGAAAAACUGCCCACACAUUUAUCUCUUCAGAUUACUUAUUAAAAUUUUAUUAAAUACUUUCCAUUUUUACCCUUUUGGUUGAGGUAUAUAAGAAGAAUUCAAUUUACUCCUGCCUUGGAAAAUGAUAAAAUAAACCUUAGCAAAUGUAAUAUUUUGUUAAGAUUUAAGAAUUUAAGUGAAGAAGUCAAAAUAAAUUUAGACAAUGUAUUCAUGCUGCAAUCUGUUUUCGCCUCACUGGAAAUGUCUGCUACAGAGGCAAACUGAAGUUGUGUAUAUCAUGCUGAUUCAGAAGAGAAUGAAGGCAUUUGUCAAGAGAUAAUGUCAGACUAAACAGACGUGUUCCAAUCGAGUAAUGCAUUUGGAGGAUUUCCAAAUAUUUGCUGAUCUGAGGAGGGUGAGGUAUAUGAUGGGAAACAAAUCUGAGAAAAGAAGGAUGGUGGAUGCUUUCCCAUUUUGACCUAUGGUCAUUUUGGCUCACCCAGGGCACCUUUCAGUCCUGCAAGCUCCAUUCAUGGGAGUUUCUGAUCUACUGGAAUACAGCAAUGAAUUCGUCAAUAUAAUGCAAUGGAAAUGCUGUCUCAGAAAUACACACAGAGACA